rnacentral:rRNA from 1 species
GUGCCAGCAGCCGCGGUAAUACAGAGGGUGCAAGCGUUAAUCGGAAUUACUGGGCGUAAAGCGCGCGUAGGUGGUUUGUUAAGUUGAAUGUGAAAGCCCCGGGCUCAACCUCGGAACUGCCCUUGAUACUGGCGAUCUUGAGUAUGAGAGAGGUAUGUGGAACUCCGAGUGUAGAGGUGAAAUUCGUAGAUAUUCGGAAGAACACCAGUGGCGAAGGCGACAUACUGGCUCAUUACUGACGCUGAGGCGCGAAAGCGUGGGGAGCAAACAGGAUUAGAUACCCUGGUAGUCCACGCCGUAAACGAUGUCAACUAGCCGUUGGAAUCCUUGAGAUUUUAGUGGCGCAGCUAACGCAUUAAGUUGACCGCCUGGGGAGUACGGCCGCAAGGUUAAAACUCAAAUGAAUUGACGGGGGCCCGCACAAGCGGU